rnacentral:rRNA from 1 species
UGCCCUAGUAACGGCGAGUGAAGCGGCAACAGCUCAAAUUUGAAAUCUGGCUCUUUUAGAGUCCGAGUUGUAAUUUGCAGAGGGCGCUUUGGCUUUGGCAGCGGUCCAAGUUCCUUGGAACAGGACGUCACAGAGGGUGAGAAUCCCGUACGUGGUCGCUGGCUAUUGCCGUGUAAAGCCCCUUCGACGAGUCGAGUUGUUUGGGAAUGCAGCUCUAAAUGGGAGGUACAUUUCUUCUAAAGCUAAAUAUUGGCCAGAGACCGAUAGCGCACAAGUAGAGUGAUCGAAAGAUGAAAAGCACUUUGGAAAGAGAGUCAAACAGCACGUGAAAUUGUUGAAAGGGAAGCGCUUGCAGCCAGACUUGCUUACAGUUGCUCAUCCGGGUUUCUACCCGGUGCACUCUUCUGUAGGCAGGCCAGCAUCAGUUUGGGCGGUAGGAUAAAGGUCUCUGUCACGUACCUCCUUUCGGGGAGGCCUUAUAGGGGAGACGACAUACUACCAGCCUGGACUGAGGUCCGCGCAUCUGCUAGGAUGCUGGCGUAAUGGCUGUAAGCGGCCCGUCUUGAAACACGGACCAAGGAGUCUAACAUCUAUGCGAGUGUUUGGGUGUCAAGCCCGAGCGCGUAAUGAAAGUGAACGGAGGUGGGAACCCGCAAGGGUGCACCAUCGACCGAUCCUGAUGUCUUCGGAAGGAUUUGAGUAAGAGCAUGGCUGUUGGGACCCGAAAGAUGGUGAACUAUGCUUGAAUAGGGUGAAGCCAG